CGCAAGGGGAACUGACGGACGCCGCGCGGGAGGGAAUUCGACUCCACGAACAAGCUGGUUUGUUGGGCUCCCCACGUGUUCGUGCGUUCUUUCUGCACUUCGGCACGGGACUACUGCACUAUUGGACGACGCCAAGCUGGCGUCGUCCGGUGGAGCUUCGUACGGGAAUUACUGCUGCUUAUCUGGUGCCACAACGUUGAAUGAAUGCACAAAAAGCCCGGUAGGAGCAUUUGUAUAGAGUAAAAUAAACAUUUCCUCAUUUCAUAAGGCGUCUUGCACCUUUGUAAAAUUGCACGUGGCACAUAUUCUAUGGAGGCUUGGAAACAUCGUUGGCAAUCCUUUUUACUUAAUAAUUAGGCAAUUCUCAACCAGAACAGCGCGCGGGUGAGCAGUAGAAUAAAAAAAAAUAUGCCGUGCCGAUCAGCGCAGCCGUCGUAAUGCGUUCCAGCUAGCGUUCAAAACGCGCGAACCCAAAACCGAAAUCUGAAGUGUAGCUCAGGUAUUAAUGUCGGCGGCUUGGUGCCCUGCAGCCAAUUCGGCCACUGGGCUCGAUGGGAGUGUACAGUCUUGUGGAAAACUUUCCCUAAGAUACUGCCGUUUCGGGGCUUCUACGCAGGCUGCUUUUCGCUAUAAGAAAAAAAAAUGCUUGCCUCAUACGCGGCGUUUAGCAGAGUGAUAGCUGUGGAGGUAUGUGAACGCAGAUGCUUGCGUAAGGUGGAUAGUAUUCCCAUUUCUGCUUGCACGCCACAUUUCAGCAGUGUUGAGCAACGACGGACGCUGCGGACCAAGGAAGCUACAGGCGUCGGUAGCAGGCAACAAAAGGCGGACUAUUUCAUUUUGGUGUAUUCUCCUCCCUCAUUGUCCGAGGCUCCCAGAGCUGCAAGAUAGAUAGUGAUGUAAAGGAAAGAAAUAAAGCAUGAUUCUGCAACCCCUGAGGGAGCACAGCCGAGCGUCGUGGUGGCAAAGAGCUUCUCGUGUACAUUAUUUUAGUGCAGUGUGCCUUUCUACGCCAGCUUCCGUGGUACACUCUCAAACUUCAUCGUAUGUCUUGAUUACGACUACGCCUUUUCCUCAGGCAAAAAUCCGGCCAGAUCAUUGACACAUUCGCACUAGUUUUGAACCUUGUACAAAAUAUUAAACAUCACCACUAGCCACUUAGAACAUCAUGUGCAAGCAAUACACCAGCCACACAUUGGAAUGAAGUAGAAAAGAGAGGAAGUGCGAGAGUGAGGGCGAUGGAGCAAAGAACAAGUGUCGCUACGUUGCAUAUUUUUUUUUGUCUAUGGACCUUAGGAUGCGCGGAGGCAAGCACCAUCUCGUGGUACUCCAAGAAACCAAACACCGACCGCGCACCGCUCUGUCAUUGGUAGAAUCGCCUCGAGGGCCUUGC